AUUGACUAUCGAUGUUUGUUGAUGACGCCUUGCAUGGUGUUGCAUUGCAAUCUUCUUAUAAUUUAAACAAUAUGAUGCUUAGUUGAAAGAGUGGUCGUGUGUAAGAGCCUAUAUUAUUUAUUCAGAAAAAUUCAAGAAAGUAUUUAAAUAGAUAGCAAAUCAAUAAGUAUCGCGGCUAUCAUCGCAUCUUGCGGAUUUUUCGUUUUGCGCCUAACAUCUCUAUUUCUAAUGUUUUGUGUCAAAACAAGCUAAUUCGGGCAUAAGAACCAUAACUUCUGCAUGUUUGGAAAUUCAGAAAAGCGGCACAAGGUGAGCAAUGGACGAAAUGUGCAGAGUUUGCAAGGGAACGUCUGAAUCAUUCACAAACAUAUUCGACGAGCCACAAAAAUGGGACACUUGCAUUGCUGACAUGAUAGCUCAGUGCACCGGGUACGAGGUUAGCCGAGGAGAUUUACUAUCAGAAAAUAUAUGUCCGCCCUGCCUUGAGGAGGCAGUAAGUGCAUUCAAUCUUAAGACAACCUGCGAGCAGAGCUAUAAAUUGAUGGAGGAGUCUAAAGGAGUAGAAAUCUUUUAUAUUGUGGAAUACGAGGACUGGGAACCUUCAGAUUGCAGAAGCGAGCAGUCAAACAAUAUUGAGACCGACGGAAAGGCAAAAGGUGGCCCUAAAUUCAAAUGUCCUCUUUGUCCAAAGAGCUUUGCGAAACGGUAUCUACCUCAACAUGUGAAACUACACACGGGUGGACGACCCUAUAAAUGCUCCCAGUGCUCAAAGUCCUUCCACUUUAGUUUCCAUCUGAGUGAACACAUCCUUUCACACACACCCUUUAAAUGUAAAUACUGCUCACAGUCAUAUGAACGUGCCACUUCUCUUAGAAAACACAUAAAAAUGUCUCACGCGUAGAAUGAUAGUUACAAAACAAAAACCUAUGUACACACAUAUGUUUAAGUAAAUGUAUUUUCCUAUUCAA